rnacentral:rRNA from 1 species
GGGGGAGCAAGCGUUGUUCGGAUUUACUGGGCGUAAAGGGNGCGUAGGCGGCCAGUGCAAGUCAGUUGUGAAAUCUCCGAGCUUAACUCGGAAAGGUCAACUGAUACUGCUCGGCUAGAGUGCGGAAGGGGCAACUGGAAUUCUUGGUGUAGCGGUGAAAUGCGUAGAUAUCAAGAGGAACACCUGCGGCGAAGGCGGGUUGCUGGGCCGACACUGACGCUGAGGCGCGAAAGCUAGGGGAGCGAACGGGAUUAGAUACCCCGGUAGUCCUAGCCUUAAACGAUGAAUGCUUGGUGUCUGGGGUUAUAUAGUCCCCGGGUGCCGUCGCUAACGCUUUAAGCAUUCCGCCUGGGGAGUACGGUCGCAAGACUG